CUGACAAGUAAAAAUCUCCAACGCAAUCAUCAUGCUUACAAUAAUAUUAUUGAAAUUUAUCUCACUUUUUCUGGGACCAUUGAUCUUUUGACUUUUAUCUUUUAAGUAGGUUACUUACUAAAACAUGCAAGCAGACAACAUAAUUUCAAUUUGCAUUAUUUAAACAAAUAAACUCACGUCGCCUUUUCAACUAGAUGUCCUAAAAUUUAGAGUUUGUCAACUUGAUAUGGCCAUUCGGCUGUUCCCAACUGCUCCAAGACAUUCAGAUAUUGAAACCCCUGCUCUUGCUGCUACCACCACCCCUAGUUCCAGUUACUCAUCUCGUAUUCGUCACUCUUUGAGUACUAUCGUUGAUGGGAUUAUCUCAAAUAACUCAUUUGGUGUGCUGCAAAAUGAAAAUGUGUCUAGUUUUAAGACUUUUGAUUUGUCAGACGUUAUGAGAACAUUAAUGUCUUAGUAGCACGAGAGAGGUCUCGUGGAGGUAGGCUUUUCAAACCAACCCAAAUGAUUCAAGAAAUGGAAUAAACUCACGUAGGUGGUCGUUGUACUCGUGGUCGAGUAUACACUCCCAAUGCCUUUGUAAAUAUUUGUAUUAGAAAAAAGUUCUCCAAGGCACAUAAUUAACAUAUAUAUAUGGCUUAUAAAAGUAAGUGGACAACGGGGUUUGGUAAAAGACAAAGCACAUGACCCCUAACUUUAAUCCAAUUAUACAUGUAU
rnacentral:lncRNA from 1 species